UCUAAUACCGGAUACUGAUCUGCUUGGGCAUCCAAGUGGUUCGAAAGCUCCGGCGGUGCAGGAUGAGCCCGCGGCCUAUCAGCUUGUUGGUGAGGUAAUGGCUCACCAAGGCGACGACGGGUAGCCGGCCUGAGAGGGCGACCGGCCACACUGGGACUGAGACACGGCCCAGACUCCUACGGGAGGCAGCAGUGGGGAAUAUUGCACAAUGGGCGAAAGCCUGAUGCAGCGACGCCGCGUGAGGGAUGACGGCCUUCGGGUUGUAAACCUCUUUCAGCAGGGAAGAAGCGAAAGUGACGGUACCUGCAGAAGAAGCGCCGGCUAACUACGUGCCAGCAGCCGCGGUAAUACGUAGGGCGCAAGCGUUGUCCGGAAUUAUUGGGCGUAAAGAGCUCGUAAGGCGGCUUGUCACGUCGGUUGUGAAAGCCCGGGGCUUAACCCCGGGUCUGCAGUCGAUACGGGCAGGCUAGAGUUCGGUAGGGGAGAUCGGAAUUCCUGGUGUAGCGGUGAAAUGCGCAGAUACAGAAGAAACCGG
rnacentral:rRNA from 1 species